AUUAUUCUUUAAGUGUUUGGUAGAAUUCACUUGUG
ensembl:miRNA